CCCAGACUCCUACGGGAGGCAGCAGUGGGGGAUAUUGGACAAUGGGGGAAACCCUGAUCCAGCGAUGCCGCGUGAGGGAAGAAGGUUUUCGGAUUGUAAACCUCUGUGGACAGGGACGAUAAUGACGGUACCUGUCAAGAAAGCCACGGCUAACUACGUGCCAGCAGCCGCGGUAAUACGUAGGGGGCGAGCGUUAUCCGGAUUCACUGGGUGUAAAGGGAGCGUAGACGGCCAUGCAAGCCAGGGGUGAAAGCCCGGGGCCCAACCCCGGGACUGCCCUUGGAACUGCAUGGCUGGAGUGCGGGAGGGGCAGGCGGAAUUCCUGGUGUAGCGGUGAAAUGCGUAGAUAUCAGGAGGAACACCGGCGGCGAAGGCGGCCUGCUGGACCGCGACUGACGUUGAGGCUCGAAAGCGUGGGGAGCGAACAGGAUUAGAUACCCUAGUAAC
rnacentral:rRNA from 1 species